GCCGGCUGGGAGGGCGAGAUUUGUUUGUUUGUUUGUUAAUAAUUUUUCUCUCAACUCCUCCCUCCUUCGUCCAGAAAGAGAAAUAAAGUUGGGAGGCCUAGUCUCACAAAACGCCCCCGCCUGAAAAGAAGUGUGUGAUUGGGCUCCCUGAAACGUAUUCUCCGAAGAGUCGCCUGAACGUAGGAUAUUUAGUGUCCGAGGAAUUGGGAAAAGUACUGUAUUGUAGACCAACUGCAAAUCUAUACUGCAAAGCUCUACAACUGCAGUUCCCAACCCCAGGCUGCAGACAAGGGUCCAUGGAACAGGGCUGCACAGCAGGAGGUGAGAGUCAAACAAGCCAGGGAAGCUGAAGCUUCAACUGUAUUUACAGCUGCUCCCCAUUGCUCGCAUCACUGUCUGAGCUCUGCCUCCUGUUAGAUCAGCGGCAGCAUUAGUUGCAGGAAAACAAGCUCAGGACUCCCACUUAUUCUGCAUCAUGUGUAAAGUACACAAAGGCAGAGAUUUCUUCUUGUUGUUCACUGGAGUGUCUUCAGGAUAUAGAACACUACCUGGUAAAGAGGACUAAACAGGCCCAACGCUCUACUUCCCUGAGGAGAGAACUGGAGUCCAGCCCUUAAAGCCACUGACUAGAAAUUGUACAAGAGAUGUUAUUAAAAAGAAGAAGAAGAAUGUCAACACUUGCCAUACAUAACAACUCAAAUUCCUGGUUCUCUUUCUCCUGUACUGAAAUAAGGAAAACAUGCAAAAAAUGUCACCUGGUCAAGGUUCAAGGUAGGUGGCUGUGGUGUUGAUUCAAUAACCUAAAAAUGUCCGCCAAUAUUUCCACAAUUCACAUCAUGUUCCCUGAUGGCAGAGCUGCAUCACUUUCCCAUCCAAGGAAAACAAGAAAACCGCCGCAGCAGCAGUAGCCAUGUGAGUCUCUCUUACCAGGAAACACAGCUUUCCCUGAGGAACCUCCCAGCAAACUUUUCUUUGUAACUCAUUUGUCAGAACAGACUAGACAACUACCCCAGCUACAAGGAAGACUGCGAAAACAGGGAACGAGAUUAUAAUGACUGGAUUAUUCCAUUGACUCAAGAUGAGCACAUUGGCACCUCAAAAAACCAGGGUUCCUUUAGCAGAAAAAAAGUGAAAAUAAAUAUCGAUUUAGUAACUUGCAGUGUCUGCAACAACACCCCCCCUUCCAACCAAGUAUCAAGUCAGGUCUCUUUUACCCCUUAAAUAUCUCUAAAGUGGGUCUGUUUCUUGACUGCUGUCCCCACUUCAGUGUAAACUACUAUCAUCUGUGCUCAGGACUACAGCAACCAACUGUUAUUCAUUGUUUUCCUGCUUUGAGUCAUGAUUAUUUCCCUCCAAUCUCUUCUCUAGGUUCAUCCAGAGUGAUCUUUUAUGUGGUAAAUAUGAACUUGUUAUUCACUGCCCUAAACCACUUCCCUGACCAACACCCGGCUAUUCCUUACGUCUGCUCAUCUUAUCCCCGGCUCAGUGCAGCUUCACCAACCUCUCCACUUCCACCUGCCCACUUUUAGCUUACUCCUACUCAUCCUUCAGGACGUUCACUCACUCGUCUCCUCACGUCCCUCAUCUCUAAGCUGAGAUAGGUGCUCCUUUAUGUGUUCUCAAAUAGUAUAUUUGAAUUGUAUAAAUUGUAUUAUAUAAUACAAUAUUGUAUUAUCAUUAUCUCAGUAUAUGGCUGUCACCACCACCAGAAAGAGUUUCUUUAAAAGUAAAGCAUCUGUUUCAUUCACAUUAGGAUCUUCAUCACCGAGCAUAGUACC